rnacentral:rRNA from 1 species
CCUACGGGGGGCAGCAGUGGGGAAUAUUGGGCAAUGGAGGAAACGCUGACCCAGCAACGCCGCGUGAAUGAUGAAGGUCUUCGGAUUGUAAAGUUCUUUUCUAAGGGAAGAAGAAAGUGACGGUACCUUAGGAAUAAGCCUCGGCUAACUACGUGCCAGCAGCCGCGGUAAUACGUAGGAGGCAAGCGUUAUCCGGAAUGACUGGGCGUAAAGGGUGCGUAGGUGGUUUGACAAGUUGGUAGCGUAACUCCGAGGCUUAACCUCGGCACUACUACCAAAACUGUUGGACUCGAGUGCAGGAGGGGCAAAUGGAAUGCCUAGUGUAGCGGUGGAAUGCGUAGAUAUUAGGAGGAACACCAGUGGCGAAGGCGAUUUGCUGGACUGUAACUGACACUGAGGCACGAAAGCGUGGGGAGCAAACAGGAUUAGAUACCCCGGUAGUC